GCUUUGCUUCAAUUUCCGUUGUGCCCAAACCCAGGUGAACACGAGCUUGGUACGUCAUUCUUGCCGAGUCGAAUCAAAGAUGGAUUUGAAGACCGAAAUCAAUUUGGAGAUGGAACUGAAGAUGGAGUGGCAACAAUAUUCUUGCCCAAAGAGGAUUUCAGAGCCUGCAAUUGAGAUUUCUGCACACAAAUUGGGGCUUAGAAGGUUGUUUUCUGGCUUUGUGAGUCCGUACAAGGCAAGGGUGCACUUUGGGUAGUGAAAGCAAUAUUCCUGCCUUUGAGUCUUCCGGUACUACAGGGAAAACCCACCGGGUUGAUGCUGUUAUUGAGGGUUUAUUGUGCAGGUUAGAAUAUCGAUUAAUCGUCAUCAAAGCUGAGGGGUACGUUCGGUAGCUUGGACGUCGAAGGGUACUCUUAGUUUUAAGUCUUCCGCUGUGUAGUGAGUUGUGGUGUGUGUGUUUACUUAUUGAAUUGUCAUUCAGUUUAAUUUGUAAACUAGCUGUAAUGUAA